rnacentral:rRNA from 1 species
GAUGAACGCUGGCGGCGUGCUUAACACAUGCCAGUCGAACGAGAAAUGGAGACGGACACCUUCGGGCGGAAGGCUUCAUUUCGAGUGGCGGACGGGUGAGUAACGCGUGGGUAACCUGCCUCAUACAGGGGGAUAACAGUUGGAAACGACUGUUAAUACCGCAUAAGACCACAGCACCGCAUGGUGCGGGGGUAAAAACUCCGGUGGUAUGAGAUGGACCCGCGUUCGAUUAGCCAGUUGGCGGGGUAACGGCCCACCAAAGCGACGAUCGAUAGCCGAUCUGAGAGGAUGACCGGCCACAUUGGGACUGAGACACGGCCCAAACUCCUACGGGAGGCAGCAGUGGGGAAUAUUGCACAAUGGGGGAAACCCUGAUGCAGCGACGCCGCGUGAGUGAAGAAGUACUUCGGUAUGUAAAGCUCUAUCAGCAGGGAAGAAAAUGACGGUACCUGAGUAAGAAGCCCCGGCUAACUACGUG